rnacentral:misc_RNA from 1 species
GAUGAAGAACGCAGCGAAAUGCGAUACGUAAUGUGAAUUGCAGAAUUCAGUGAAUCAUCGAAUCUUUGAACGCAUAUUGCGCUCUCUGGUAUUCCGGAGAGCAUGCUUGUUUGAGUAUCAGUAAACACCUCAACUCUUUUUUCUUUUUUGAAAUUGGAGCUGGACUUGAGUGAUCCCAACGCUUUCUUCCAAGAAAGUGGCGGGUUGCUUGAAAUGCAGGUGCAGCUGAACUUUUCUCUGAGCUAUAAGCAUAUCUAUUUAGUCUGCCUAAAAAACAGAUUAUUACCUUUGCUGCAGCUAACAUAAAGGAGACUAGUUCUUGUGCUGACUGAUGCAGGAUUCACAGAGACAGCUUCGGCUGACUUUGUAAACUCGAUCUCAAAUCAAGUAAGACUACCCGCUGAACUUAAUCAUAUCAAUAAGCGGAGGA